UACGUAGGGUGCAAGCGUUGUCCGGAUUUAUUGGGCGUAAAGAGCUCGUAGGCGGUUUGAUAAGUCGGGUGUGAAAUCUCCAGGCUCAACCUGGAGCUGCCACUCGAUACUGUCAUGACUUGAAUUCGGUAGGGGACCACGGAAUUCCUGGUGUAGCGGUGAAAUUCGUAGAUAUCAGGAGGAACACCGGUGGCGAAGGCGACUUCCUGGACACCAACUGACGCUGAGACGCGAAAGCGUGGGGAGCAAACAGG
rnacentral:rRNA from 1 species